GUCUGCAGCUGUCGUUCUUCACGUGGUGUCCAUCUCAGAACCGAAAGAAGUCCAUGUGUAAAGUCCAGCCAAGGUGAACGAUAUAAAAAAAUAAUGCGCACUAUGAGAACUGGAGUGAUGAUAACGACAUAGGACAGGACAGAUGGCGCUGAGACAUGCACGGACAGCCGGAGAGCGCACGUGUGCACGAGAUUACGUAAGGAGGACUGUUUCCUAUGGACAGGUGCCUUUGUUUUGGUUUUGUUCUCUUCCUGUUCAGGUAUUGGUUGAUAUUCGAGGGUGGGUCAUUAUUGGUCCCAGCUUUCAGUAUUCAAGCGUGAUUAUGUUUGUUAUUUAAAGCCCUCAUGUUGCUGUGCACUUCACGCAAUAUUAAAUGAAUGUAUAGGUGAAUACAGUUAAGUAUGCUACGUAUGUUUUCGUCCUCUUUAGGUUAAGCGGUCGUGUUUUCAUGUCCUGUUCUUGUUCCAUGCCUCGAAUCUAGUUUCAUGUUUAAACUUCGAUUUUCUCUUCCAGUCUAGACCAUGUUUCGUGUUUAUUGACUUCAGUUUGAGAAUAAAGACUUUGAUCUGU